UUCAGCUAGUUCCCUACAUGGCAAGUUCUUAAUUCAGUUUCUCCCCUAGCCGAAAGUGUUUAUUCACUUUGUUAUUUUAGAACUUUCAAAAGAGCUAAGGCACUAAUAGGUGAAAUAAAUGGUGUACAAUAUUACACUCUGUUUUCCCCCACUCCCAUGUUCCCCAGAUCAGUGAGCAAUAUGUAAAAGCACAAAAAGACAGCAGGCUCAUUUAAAAACCUAUAGCACAACGUUCUAGAGGGAGCUUAUUGGUAUGUUGCCUUAAAGGCAUUUAGCCAACAAAAUACACUAUACAAACCAUUCAAGUUAGUCAGCACCCACAACGAUUUGACUCUUACUUCUAAGAUUGUUAAAAUUAUUAAAUUGACAUUUUGGAUGGAAAAAAGUUCAUUUAUUCCUGAGGAAGCAAACUCCCAGGAAGCAUCCAGCUGCCUCAUACAAUGGAAGGCUAAGACUGUGCAGCUAGGUUUCCAAAGUGACUAAGAACUUUACAAGGCCUGGAUGAUCAACUUGAAACACACUUUGGCCCAAGCCCUGAACGCUGCAUCCCAGUCUGCAAUUUCUGGGAGCUGAGAGAUUCUGUAUCUGACAACUGAUCACACCGUUAUCUCUAGUUGGUUUUUACAUCAUUAUAUAUAGUUCAUCUUUCAUAUUCAUUUUGGCUAAAUGCAUUCCCUCUCUGAGAUUUGUUUUAGCCACAUCCAGCACAGAAACAGAAGUCCUUUAGAUGCUUUGAAAGUUGAUCUGCCUUUAGCUUACCUGACAUUUCCAGGACUGGGUGGAAAGAGGUGAGAAUCAGCUACUCUUCAGUGGCUACAUGUGAUCACAGUCCCUUUCCUCUCUUGGAGAAGUGCUCUGCCAAUAGAAAGUAAAGGCAUGUGCUAAGCCAGAGAACAUGGCUGAUCCAAGUUCUACGAUUCUCUGUCUCUAGUCAUCUUCCUCUCCAGCUUCUGCCCCUAGUGAUAUGACAGAAAGAAGAACAGAGUGGACAGCCUAAUGGGGACAGAACAAGAAAUCAUUGGUACUUCUAUUCAGCACAGGCAAGGAUUACCUUCUUCAGGCUGAGUUAAAUAUCAAAUGCUGACAUAUCCAAAGACACCUGCAUUAUAGAAGACUACUACGAUUGCCAGUUGAUUUCUUUUUCACUUGGAAGUGAAAGUAAGAAGCUAAGCAUCUGAGUUUGCAAGCCAAGGGGAAUCUGGACGCAAUAAAGUUCCUUUGCCGAAGACUCCAGUGUCUUCUGAGGAAUUCAGUCCAAGUGUUUCAUGAAGCUCAGGUGUUGCAGUGUGUCAUCAAGACCAGUGGGCCAGCUGGACAAGGGACAAAACAGGUCUGCUGGUGGGACAGCCCCUAAGUCCUGAACCGCCCCCAACGUUGUGGUGACCACAAGGAGCCUUCCCACAAUGUUUUAUUAUGUUAAUGUAUGCUGUUUCUGUACUCUGGAUUGGCCUGUUGGUCCCCACCCCUUUAUACCUUGUGUGGUCCCCCUCUAGAAAGUUCUUCUCUCUGGGUUCUCCCAAUGGUUUCUGUUCUCCUGCCCACCCCUCCUACUUCCCCAUUGGUUGUUUUACCUUUGUUCUACCCUCACUCUGCCUCCUUGCCCUCAAACCAUUGGUUCUAAUGUUUCCCUGCUGCUACCGGCCCCGUAUAUAAACCUACACCUCCUCCUCUACUUUGUCUUUUGUUCCUGGGCCCUCUAUCUGUGGAGUUAACUCUUGUUGCUGGAACCCCAUACAAAAGACCCUUUUCACCUCUGUUCCACUGAUCGCCGCCUUUUGGACGUGUGAUUGAGUUGCUGGAUCACCAAGGGUGCAUGUGCCUGUGCCUGCAUUUGGCCUCAGAGCCAAAGCGGCUCCCUCUUUCUGGGGACGCUUUUGGGAAGGUCGUGGCACUUCACCACCUCUGCACACUGCGGCACUCAGGUGCCACAUUAGUGCCAUAGAGCUGACUGUCUUGGGGAGGCAUAUGCUCCGGCUGCUUCCCAGCCCCAGCCUUGCUUGUUUAUGAUCAGCUCAGAUUUCUCUUCAAGUGGGUGUGCCCAGAAACCUUUGCCAUAGAAAGAGCUUGUGUGAGGCAAUGCUAUUAUUGGAUACCAGCGUCCGUCAGGCACACACUCGUCUCACACAAUUUUUAGUUAAAUAUGGAAGCAACAUCUUGUCGGCUGCCUAUGGAGAUGUUCUUUCUUUUAGUAGCCUUCUCAUAUUAGUGUGACUGGUUUUGUUUGCAGCUUGUAUUCUCAUUUGGCAGUUGUACAGCAUUAUCUAUGCUUGAAACAUACUGCUGUGAAUCAGCACUAAGUGAUUCAAGGCAGUUGUUGGAUGUUCAGUUGACUACCCCUGACAUUGUUAUGUGCUGAUUAUAUUGCAUAUUUCUAGUAUUAUAUUCUCUCAUAGAACAUUGAUGUUUCAAAAGGCAUGCUCUGCAUUCCAGACAGACAUCCUAUCAAGCAUCAUUCAGUUCUAACAGUGUGUGCAUCUCCUGGUGUUCAUGACAGUUUUGUAAGAUUCCCUCCAGACAUGAAAAGUACUUUGAAAGUUUCACCUACAGCAUAGUCUUACAAGCCUUCUUUAUAGCCUCUACACCUCUCUUCCUUCAAGACACUGAUCCUUUUCCAAGGUAGUAUUGAUGAGUGCUAAACUUCUCAGAACAGCAAGCACAAGCAAGCUGCUGUACACACAAUCCAAGUCACAUGAAUUCCUCAGGAACAGGACUGCAAGACUCUUGGAUGUUAUUCACAACCAACUAUUUUAUUUUCACUAGAUCAGCACUUCCUAAGACUGUUGAAGUAACUCUAACAUUCCUGGCAUCACGCUAUUUGGUCACUGUUUUUGCUGUGUCACUGAGGAUAACUCGGGGUUAGUGUGAAAAGUUCAAAGUUGUAGGGUUCAAGUGAGCUGUUCUCCAUAUCCCAUUCUUAGGAGCUUGGUUACUAAACAGUGGCUUAGGUUUUCUGCAUAGGUUUCCUAUACUAUUGAGGUUAAUGAAGUGGGUGGAGAGAGUAGGAUAGAAAGAAUGGUGUUUUAAUUAUGAUAGGGACUGAUAAGUGCAGACAUGCUGUGGGUAUUUUGGAAAACAAGCUAGGAUGUUGCAACACCAGGCUAGUAAUUGCAUAAGCACACUUGCAGUUAGUUGUUUUAGAGAAUUGUAUCUUCCCCUUCCCUCUUCUUUCCCCUUCCCCUUCCCUUCCCCUUUCCCUUUCCCUUGCACUUCCCUUUCCCCUUCCCUUUCCAGAUAAAAUGUCAUUAUCCAGUACUAUGUCUUAUGUCUAGAAACAGUUUCGUGCAGUGCUGCUGCUUUCAUUACUGGUAAUUACUCCCUGCAUUUGGAGCCAGAGGUGGGAGGAUUAUGAAUUUCUAAUCCAUACCAAGUUUUGCUAACUUCUAGUGAUACCUGUCUGGUAAAUUAUGUGCUUUUCAGCUAUUUGGAUUGUCUAUCAUUUCACAUCUAUAUAAUAUGCUGGGUCAAAGUUAGCCUGACCAAAUGGCCAGUGGAUUUUAAAUUAAUGUUUUUGUACACUACCCAGAGCUAUCUUUCCUAUCUGCCAUCAGCCGCAAAGUUCACACACCUCUGUGUGUGUGAUCAUAUAUCUUACCCACAAGUAUUCACUGCACUGUUUUGUGACUCAGACAGCAUUUACUUUCUCUGCGGAAGUCUUGUAAACAUACUGCUACUCUAAUAAGAAGAAUCACACAAAAUCGGUAUUUCUUAAUGUGGUUGUGGAAAAAAUGUAUGAACAGAGACUUUUCAAAGGACAGAUGUAGACUAUAAUUUUAAUAUCAGCAACAAUUCUAUAGCUAGUUUCUCAAAAUAGCACAUAACUAGCAUCAAGCAGCAGCACAAAAACCCCAUUAAGUUCAAUCCACUGCUUGAAUGGAUAACAGGAAUAAAAAGGGGCUAAAAGCAUUAAGA